rnacentral:misc_RNA from 1 species
UGCCGCUGCCGCUGCUGCUGCUGCGGUGGCGGUGGCUAAGUUGGAGUCGGCUAAAUCUAAGGCGGUGGGUUGCUUCUUCUCUACGGCUCGGCGACGGGUUGAAGCCGUGGCUGGAUUAGCCGAGAUAGAUACUGUAGACGCUGACAUUUGUGGGGAAAAUUGAGAAUAAAACCCUAGAAAUUGAGAGGGAAUUUGGAGAAGAAAAUGUGGAGGGACGUAAAAACUUGAAAGUGG